UGCAAGUAUUUAGCUGCCGGUGAAAAGCGGCUAAAUGGAUCCAAAUCCUUCACGCGGAGAGAAAAAGGGGAGAAGACGCGGCUUCCGCCGACUUGAAAUCGUCUCUGCUGUCGACAGGAAGUUGCUCGGCAGGUUCAUCUGGACGUUUCGCCUCCCAGGUCCCGAAGCCGUUUGACCGCGAUUGUCCCUCCAUUUUAUCUGAACCGAAGUCAUCUGUUGAGGUGGCGGGAGCGUCGUCUUUCAUGGCCGCAGGUUGUGCCUGACCUCGUUGACCUGCAGCGGAUUAAGCAGCUAAUUUAUCUGUGAUUCUGUUCUGAAGGUCUACUCAUAGCAGAGUUCACAUCCACAUCACCGUCCGUCCCCUCUUCAGUCCCCCCGGGGGGAGAGAAUCUUUCACGCAUCCCGACAGUCUUCUGCCGGCGCGUCCGCACACCCAGCGUUCGCCGUGUCCGAGAGGGACGUCUGAUCAUGGACUGUCCGCCUCCGCGAGGAGGAGAGUUCCUCUGCGGGGCUGAGGACUGGAGGCUGAGGUGGAAGGACAGGGCUGGGCUGUGAACCAGUCUCUCUUACUGGGAGAGACCAGUGAAACGACACAGUAACAAAACUGUUCUGGAUUCAGCCUCACCUGUCCCCCUUUUUCUCACCUGGCACAGGCCAGGAAAGAAAACAGGCCUCAGUCUUGUAUGUUGCAAUUAAGAG